AUACGUAGGGGGCGAGCGUUGUCCGGAUUUACUGGGCGUAAAGGGGUGAGUAGGCGGUUAUGUAUGUCAGGUGUAAAAGGCGUAGGCUUAACUUACGUUAGCACUUGAAACUGCAUAACUUGAGUGCAGGAGAGGUAAGUGGAAUUCCUAGUGUAGCGGUGAAAUGCGUAGAUAUUAGGAGGAAUACCAGUGGCGAAGGCGACUUACUGGACUGUAACUGACGCUGAGUCACGAAAGCGUGGGUAGC
rnacentral:rRNA from 1 species